UGAGGAAUAUUGCACAAUGGGCGAAAGCCUGAUGCAGCGACGCCGCGUGAAGGAUGAAGGUCUUCGGAUUGUAAACUUCUGUUAAACGGGAAGAAAGAACUACCAGUAAUAUGGGUAGGUGAUGACGUUACCGUUAAAGAAAGCACCGGCUAACUUCGUGCCAGCAGCCGCGGUAAUACGAGGGGUGCAAGCGUUAUUCGGAAUUACUGGGCGUAAAGGGUGUGUAGACGGCAUUUUAAGUCUAUUGUUUAAGACCUCAGCCCAACUGGGGAAAGGCAAUAGAGACUGGAAAGCUAGAGGAUGGAAGAGAGAAGUGGAAUUCUCGGAGUAGCGGUCAAAUGCGUAGAUCUCGAGAGGAACACCAAUGGCGAAAGCAGCUUCUUGGUCCAUAUCUGACGUU
rnacentral:rRNA from 1 species